rnacentral:piRNA from 1 species
UGAUAGAUAUGUACUCUGGACCUCUCCCAU